UCAUCCAAUCACAGUAUAGCGUAAACGCGCCAAUUCCUGCAAAGUAAUUUCUGUUGUUCGGUCGGUUUAGUAGAUCAAGGAAAUAUGGAUAAACCUGCAAAAAAGAAAAUACUGUGCAGCUACAACAAACAAUUGGAAGAAACAAAGACGUGGGUUAAGCCCGUCAGUGGUGACUCGAUGAAAGCGUUCUGUACUUUAUGCCGUCGGGAAUUCUCAAUUGGCCAUGGAGGGAAGAAUGACUUAAUAACUCAGCAUGCAUCCACGGAAAUGCACAAGAAGGCCAUGCUAGCUAAAGGUGCUAGCAAUAUCGGUGCAUUAUUCGUAACUGUGCGGGAUAUUUUGGAUGAUAUGUACCGUCCGAAGGUGAGCCCGUGUAUUUCUUAGUUGCCAGUGAUGCCUCAAACGAGGGAAAUAGACAAAUGUUUCCAGUGCGUGUGAUAUUUAUGUGUCUAAUGGAAUGGAGUGCAAUGCAAGUUGUGAUGAAACUACGAAUGUCAUACAUCAAGCUCUGAUGAACUGUCUGGAAAAGCAUGAGCUGGAUAUUCGACAAAUCACAGCCUAUGCAGCAGAUUAUGCAGCAGAAAACACCACUCCGUUUACCAGUUAUUGAGCAGCGCCAACAAUCCCAUUCUGAAAGCUCACAUAGCUCAUAAUGCCUGCAAGCACGCCUGCUGUCAGUGGAUAUUGAGACAAUUGUUUUAAAGCUCUACAUGCGCUUCUCAGUAUAUGCUUCCCGAAGAGAGGAACUGGGUGCAUUUUUUUGCCAUUGUUGACAUUGAGUGGCGUGAAAUUCUGCGACAUGUUUGUACACGUUUGGCCCUCGCUUCAUCCAACUGUAGAUCGUAUCCUGCAAAGCUGGCCAGCUCUUACUUCAUACUUCAGGUCCCUUGGGGAGACCUGCCCUGUGGCACUGGAGAGUAUCAUUACAUACAUUGACAAGUGGUUUGAUUUGUCACCAGAAAAUGUCAUGGUGAAACUGAAACCGAUUGGCCUCUGAGCUCUCCUUCACUGACCUGGAGCAAGUGGUGGUUGCCCUCAAAAUGACAGACAGUCAGUAUGGACCAACUCUAUGAUGAGUUUUGUGCUAGCUGAGAGGAAAUACAGAAAACCAGACAAGAUACCACAAAAUCCACCAGUGAGAAGUGGGUGGCAGUUUUUCAAAACCUAGAGAAAGCCAACUUGAUCAACAUGUUCAGGAUUAGUCUCAUUUGUUCUCAGUAUGCCAGGCUCAAAUGCCUUUUGUAGACAGGAUUUUCUCUUUGAUGUCCAUUUAAAUGGUCAGACUCAAGAAACCGAUGCAGCACAGAGCUGAUCACAAAUGAACUUCAAAUAUCUGUGAACUGUGACUUGUCAUGUAAGGACUUCUCUCUGGCUAUGCAAAAGGACAAAGGACUGCUUGAAUCAGUCAAGAGCAACAAAAAAUAUCCAUGGAAAAAGUAGACUUGGCACUUCGCUCUUCUGAGAAUCUCCUUGUCUUUGAACCUGCGCAGUUUCACCACUAUACUGUAGAUCUAGGCUGUCCAACUGGGAAGAAAGUGCCAUUCAUAUGUGUGCUCUCGAUGAGUUUAAGGUACAGUUUGAGUUGAUCUGCCAGGAGUUUCUUGACCUUGACUUCUGUUUCAUGUCAAGUUUCAGUCUUUACAUCCUCAAUUCCAUUGAUUUAAGAUGUUAUUGUACUCAAUUUGUUUUCCAGGUAGUCUCCUUUGGAAGAGUGCUUGUCAAGUGUUGUUUGGAAUAUUGCGAAAUCCCCAACAUGGUUUUGAAUGCGGUCUGGCUGGAGACAUUCUCCUCCUUUAUCUUCUCCACCUCUGACUGCGUAAACUUCAAACUGUUUCAAUUCUAUUACAUCCUUAAACAGAUCAUCAACCCUUUUGUUGGUACAAUCCAUAAAGAUUUUUAUAUAACUGUUUUUGUUGAUCGAGUAGUUCAUGGAGUGUAGUGCUUGAAAUGUAUUCCUCUUCUGAAUUGAGUUUUGAAAGUAUUUGUUUUUAAAUAUACUUAGGUAUCAAAAGUAAAUGUAAUGGCAAAAAUGUACUGAAGUGUCAAAAGUAAAAGCAGAAGUCAUUUCACAUUCCUUAUAUUAAGCAAACCAGACGGAAUGAUUUUCUUGUGAUUUUAAUUUAAACUCCAACACUCAGACAUAAUUUUCUAACAAAAAAUGUGUGUUUAGAGUGUCUGCCAGAUCACAGGCAGUAGGGAUGACCAGGGAUGUUCUCUUGAUAAGUGUGUGAAUUAGACAAAGUACUUUUGAGUGUCGGGUAAAAUGUAUGGAGUAAAAAGUACAUUAUUUUCUUCAGGAAUGUAGUGGAGUAAAAGUUGUCAAAAAUAUGAAUAGUAAAAUGAAGUACAGAUACCCCAAACAACUGCUUAAGUAGUACUUUAAAGUAUUUACUUAAGUACUAUUUGCACUGAUUCUCUACAUUUCCACACACGCACACAUUCACUAACGCACACACCACACACAUUUAGUAUCACACACACCACUGCUGUCUUUAUUUAUUAUUAUUUAUUUACCAGUCUACCUUGUUCCUAACUAGUUACUAUUUGUGACCUAGUAUAUUCACAGUAUAUUCUGUACAUUUUACAAUAUAGUUCUUGUUUUUAUAAAAAAAAAAUUAUUCUCUACUUUUUGUAAUACUUUUUUUAUUACUGACAUAGUAUUUAUAUUUGUGACUGCUCUAGUUUUCCUGCUCAUUUUAUUAUUUAUUGCAAUGUUGAGGAAGAUCGCAAGUAGGCAUUUUAUUGCACUGUUUACACUGUAUACUUUGCAUAUGAUGAAUAAACUUUGAUUUGAUUUUAAA